rfam:Triticum aestivum genome assembly, contig: Triticum_aestivum_CS42_TGACv1_scaffold_593439_7BS
AGGAUGGACGAGGAAGACAUUGUCUCCCACAUCCUAGCCGGACUCGAUGAAGAUUUCGAUCCGGUGGUUUCUGCUAUGUGCUCUAGGGUGGAGCCGGUCACUGCAGCCGAGCUUUUCUCGCAGCUACUCAACUUCGAGA